ACAGCUUGAUUAUAGCAUUUAUGUUAAUAAAUAGUAUUUGUAUAUAUUUGUUCAUGCACUGACUUGUUGACUGACUUUGACAGAGUAUACAGUAUGACAGUACUUUGAUUUUCUAUUCACUUUGGUAUUUACAUCCUGGGUUUUCUAUUUCUUUAUUCCGAUUGGUUACUCUGUGAACUCCUUUGAUAUUGAGGCACUCUCUUUUCAAAUUCUACACAGAGAACACUAUACUUGAUUGUGAUUGAUAUAUUCUAUUUAUUCUUAUUCUGGAAACCAUUCUUUAUAUUCAGAUUCCAGUAUGUGAAGUAUAGUAUAGAGUACAGUAACUUUAUAGAGGAGCACUGCUCAGCCCUUGUAUUAUAUACACGGGUGUUUAUUCAGGAUUACUAUAAUAAACCAAUAGAACCCAACUCAAGUGUUUAUUACGCCCAACUUGAUGAGUCUACAUAA